GCGGGCGUGGCGGAAUGGCAGACGCGCUGGUCUUAGGAGCCAGUGUCUAGUACGUAAGGGUUCAAGUCCCUUCGCCCGCACCA
rnacentral:tRNA from 2 species